AUGGGAAGGGAGAGGUGGAGGAGCAGAGGGAAAAGGGGAAAAACAUCAAUACAAGUGCCAUGUUCACACUUGUGUCUUCUUAAAAUGAAUACCUGCCAGGGGUUUGGUGAUGCUUGUUCUAACUCAUCUGUUGACUUCUUCAAACAGAUAAUGCUGCUUAUGAUGGUGAGAAGGGGGUGAGGUGUUGAUUCUGGCAUGAAGCAGCCUUUCUUCCCUCUUCUACCGCACUGAUAUUCCAGUCCCCAAUUGGAGAGCAGGUGAAAUUGUGUAAAACUGUGCCAAACUGUCCUCUCCCCUUCUCCUGCCUUGGAUGGCAUUGUAUUGCUAGCUGCUUCAGAGAUCGUCUCUGCUCCUGUUUGAGGUCUUAAGUGAUAAGAGUAGGUCCGUGGGUGGGGAUGGGUAGGUAAGGGUAGGAUGGUAAUAGGUAUGUCAAACCCUGCUUACUCAAGUUCUCUGGCUAGCGAGUCAUGGAAGUGUCUUCCCCGGCUCCAGCAAAUUACCUGUGGGGAUGUUGGGGGAGGUGGCAGAGCUGGCUUUGAACAUCCGGCUGCUCCCUGCCCUGUCCCAUGUGACAUCACUCUAUCUCGUGCAAGCAGGUGACAAGGACAGCAUUUUGCAAGAGAGUAUUUCUCGGUUGCUGCCGCCCGCUGCCUGCCACUGGCCGCCCCUUAACCGAGCACCCCAGACGGUUCAGAUCUGAGACCCUUGAUUUCCACUCCACUGAUGGAUCUCUUCUAUCCUGCUGCCGUGUUUGUGAAGGGCAGUGGAACCUCCAUCUUAGAGUGGUCCAGCUUUAGACUCCUAGAUUCUGACCUGCCAAACAUUCUGUGCAUCCCCAUUAGAGUGCUCUUGUUCCAGGGGAGGUCCCUGUCCCUGCUCCCUCACCAGCCAGACUUCAGCCGGCUCCCCUCAUGCCGCCUGCCUUCCCUGCUCUCCCAGGGUCUUCUUUCUUGCUGCUAUUUCUCCUCCUUUCCUCUCCCUCCUCCCCACAUUGCUACGGCUCCUACCCUAGCCUCUGCCCCUCCAACCAAUCCUGCCCGGGAAACAUCUUCUGCUCUAGAUGGUGUUGAUUUUCCAAGGCCCGUUUUCAGGUUAGAUUGAAGGGUGAUAAUGAUCCCCUUCCAACUCUUCCAAAAUUACCCUUGUUACCUCUUAGUAGCUGCCCUUUCCCCUCGUCCUAGCAAGCCCGGGAGAAACUUCUGCUGUGUUUGUACUUUUUCAUUAAAUAUAUCUCUUCCCUCUGGGCAGGAUGGGAUGCUUAUUAUUUCAGGCCAGUCUCUCUACCUUUUGUCUCACCAGGCCACAUACAAUCUCUUAGUGGUUGCUAAGGGCUGCAGGUAGUAAUGCAUUUGCAAAAUGCUAAAGGACGGCAGGGAGUUGUUUUGGCAGCUAUUGUGGGAGAAUAGCUUAAGGGAAUGGAUGGUGGGUGACUCGAGUUCCAUUCCCAGCUAUCCUAUCUGUAAUUUAGACAGCCCCUGCAUCUCCGCCUGGUUUUCCUAACCUAUCCAGUGAGGGCCCAGGAUAACCAACUCCAUAUCUGCGAAGUUAUUUGUGCUCUUUGGCUUAGGGGUUGGAAUGUGCUAGGGGUGGUGGUGGUGUGCAGUGGAUUUUAAAGGCAUGCAGUAGAAACAGCAUGACCCAACAUGUCGCAUGGUGACGUCACCCCUCCCCCUAACAAAAACUCCAAAUCUAGCCUACAAGAGACGUUUUCCCGGAUUCUCUGUGGCACCCAUUAGAAGGGAACAAAAAUAGGACAUCGGAAGCUUUAAAGGCCAUUAUCUUUGUGGCUGAUCAGUAGAUGAUGGGCAGCCGCUGCUGGUGUUCUAUUUUCAUUCUCUACUAAUUUUCCCCCCAUUGUCUCCACUUUUCCCCUAUUUCCCCCUAACCCCGUUGCAGCUCUGCAGUGGCCUUGAGGCUGCAGUGUACCUGGUUCCCCUUGCCCCCGGGCAUCAACCCCUUACCCUGGGUCCCUGCUCAUGCACAAAACUGUGUUAACCCAGCAUGACUUGGAGCUGUAUUUCUAAGCCGUGACUUGAACAUCGCGCACGACAAGAUAGCGUUAGAGCCAUCAUAAAGGCUCAUAUAGUGCGGCACGAGAUUCAGCGGCAUACGUGCCCCGCCUCAUUCCAAAGAAAUACCAAAAGGCGAUACAGGCGGUCCUCGACUUACAACAUUUUGAGUCACGACGAAUGGCACUUACAAGACGUUUCUAAAUUUACCCCCUGUUUCAGCUUUACCACACGUCGGUUUCGACUUUACAACACUAGCCUCCUUUCUGGCACUAGCUCCGCCUACAGUACAGUUCUUUAUCCGAGCAUCUCUUACAGAUCCUUCUGAGGCACAAAGAUGGGGGGAGAAACUUGGCCCUCAGGUACCCAGGGAAUCAGUGGUGAAGUUGGACAGCGGAAUUCCAGGAUGUUGUCCCUUUGUUCCCUGCUCCAAAUAGUAAACUGCAGUUCUUCACUUCCCUAAUGACUGCUCACAAAUAAAUAUUUAGCUCAAUCUCUG